UUACGGAUAAUUCCUGACCCCCCUAAUCUCGGAUCAAGUGAAUUUAAAUGCACCCAAAUCGCUGAUAUGGCAAGUGGAACAAAUGCUACUGCGUUUGACAAAAAGUUUAAAAGGAAAAGAUAAGUGGGUCCCUUUUAUUUUCUUCUCAGCCAUCAUUUUUCAUUCUUCAUCUUCCUUACACCCCCACCACCCCAUCCUUUGCUACCAGCAACACACAUUUUUCUUCCCCACAGCUCACUACCCACUGUCGCCUUCAACCACCCAUGCACCACCCCAUUCUUCUUAACCAAAACACCCCCUCCCCCUCUCUUUGUCCUUCUUUAAAACUCCCCACCCCAUUUCUCCUACUUCGAACCCCACCCCUAUACUUUUUCUCCUACUCCAAAAAACCUCCCCUUUUUCAACUUUCAUCUUCCUCUUCUUUUUAUUCUUCAUCAUUGAACCCCACCAAUUUUUUCUUCACUUCUGAUUUUCACUCAUAUUAAUUUUUAUUUUAAGAAGAGGAUCUUCUUUUUUUCAAAAUGUCAUAAUUGAGAAGGUCCUUUUACCUGCACAGUCUCUGAACUCAUCGACUGAGUGUAGAGGUGCAGGCUAUGGUCCGUGUGUGGAUCGACGAUGCCACUGUCGUCCCACACUUAAACAAAUUGGAGUAAGCCCUCGCCUGCAAAGUCUUUGACCGAGACGACGGAGUGCAGGACGAAGAGGGGGGGGGGUUGUCCGUCGACUCACAGAUGGACCGUCGAUCGGGGUCUCAUCCGUGAGGGUCGAGUUUCACUGUUUAAUUUUAAUAAUUUCAUUUAAUUUAAUUAUGUGGUUUAGGGGUUAGUUGGAUAUUAAAGGGAGACUAAUUAAGUUGGUUAAGUGUCACUAUAAAUACCCUCAAACCUCAUUAACCUAAAAACAACUCUCAAAAUAAAUACUCUUCCUUCUCUCUUCUUUCUCUCUCUAAUUGAAAGACUCCAUAGAAGCUUACCUUGGGAGGUGAAUUGGGGUAUGAAAAAGGGUGGAUUCAUUUUCAGUUUUCAACAAAACAUUAAGGUUCUGGUCGUUGAAGAGUUUGGAAGGCGACAUUGUUGAAUACUCGGAUCUUCCUUUCAUCUAAGUAGGGUAGGUCCUCAACUUUCGAGGGAAUGUCAUCCUCUAGCUUUGGAUUUUGUUAUGAGCGUAUUGACUCUAUCAUUCCUUUCCUUUUUAAUUCAAUAUUGUCCGUAUGACCUUUACAUGGUCUUAUUGAAAUGAUGUAAGGGCUAUGCCCAUAUUGUGAUAUUCGUUUAGAUGGUAUGAGAUGUGACAAUCGUUGAGAUUA